rnacentral:lncRNA from 1 species
UCCCUGAUGACGUUGCUCGUGAUUGUCUUAUUCGUGUCAUGCACCCGCAGUUCUCCACCGUCGUAUCAGUCUGCAAAGCGUGGAAAACUGAGCUCGAGUUGCCGGAAUUUCACCGUCGCAGGAAACUUACCUGUAAUACUCAAAAGCUUGUCGUUAUGGCUCAAGCUCGAGUUGAACGAAAGGAAGACUCUAAGGCUAUGAAAUAUGGAGUUAGCCCGAUUUACCGCUUCACCGUUCUUGAGCCAGAUACCGGUGAUUGGUGUGAAUUACCUCCAAUUCCGUGGUUUUCCGAUGGCUUGCUCAUGUUUUGCCAGGUGGUGAGUGUCGGGUCCGAUAUUGUUGUUUUGGGCGGGCUGGAUCCGGCGACUUGGG